rnacentral:rRNA from 1 species
UACGUAGGACCCGAGCGUUAUCCGGAUUCACUGGGUGUAAAGGGUGUGUAGGCGGGCGUGCGCGUCCGGGGUGAAAGGUUACGGCUCAACCGGAAACAUGACUUGGAUACGGCACGUCUUGGGUGCGGGAGAGGACGGUGGAAUUCCUGGUGUAGCGGUGAAAUGCGUAAAUAUCAGGAGGAACACCAGUGGCGAAGGCGGCCGUCUGGCCCGCAACCGACGCUGAAACACGAAAGCGUGGGGAUCAAACAGG